rnacentral:rRNA from 1 species
GUCGAGAAUCUUCCACAAUGGGCGAAAGCCUGAUGGAGCGACGCCGCGUGACUGAAGAAGCCCUUCGGGGUGUAAAGGUCUUUUUCCGCCCAUAAAUUUUGAUAGUAGGCGGAGAAUAAGUGGCCGCCAAACUCGUGCCAGCAGCGGCGGUAAUACGAGUGCCACAAGCGUUAUCCGGAAUUAUUGGGCGUAAAGCGUCUGUAGGGGGUUUAGAAAGUUAGGGGUUAAAUCUUUCGGCUUAACCGAAGGACCGCUCUUAAAACUACUAAACUAGAGAGUGCGAGAGGCUGAUGGAACUCAGAGAGUAGGGGUGAAAUCCGUUGAUACUCUGGGGAACACCAAAGGCGAAGGCAUUCAGCUGGCGCAUUUCUGACCCUGAUGGACGAAAGUGUGGGGAUCGAACGGGAUUAGAUACCCUGGUAGUCC